GCUAAGGUAGCAGAGCACGGCACACUGCCGAAGCCUUAAUCCCUUCGCACGAAGGUUCAAAUCCUUCCCCUAGCU
rnacentral:tRNA from 1 species